GUUGUGGUCCAGCGCCUGUGAAGAUGGCGGCCGUUAACUCGGGUCCUGGGAGAGCAGCCUCCUGAGAAACUGCUGCCGGACCAAACGCCCUAAAGAGGUUGCCAGAGGACGAGGGAUUACGGUGAGGGAUCACAAGUCCAGCAUCACCUUGGAUCAAUGGAGGCAUUCAGUUUAUCACAACCAGAAUGUAGUUGGAUGUUAAACAUGAAAGGAAUGAGCACAGUUCACUGUGAAGAGAAACCCUGCACACGUCUUGUGCAUGGACAAGCCUUCAGCCAGUUUUCUGGUUCGUUGAAACACAAGUGCAGUCACACUAGGGAGUGACCGGGAAAUGUGGAGAUUGUGAUGAAGGAUUCAAAUCCCUGCCUGAGUUGGAUAUACAUCGGCGCAAUUGCACUGGGGAGAAGUGUAGGUAGUGGAAUGUCCCUUCCAAAUAAAAUAUCAGCUGUUUUGGGACUUUGAAAACAAUAUUAGCCAACUGAAUGGCAUGCUGGGAAAACUAGCCAACUGACCGGUAUGUUGGGAAUUGGAUGAAGCCAGACAGAUAUGCAAACCAUUCACUUUGAUUGACGAUUGAAUGGGUUGCUGAUGAGACACUGCUGCAAGCUUUUGUGCGGAACAAUAGACCUGAGUUUUAGUAGAACUGUUGUGGAGACAGCUUGGCUCGGAGGGUUGGUUCCAUCAAGCAGGAAAAUUACAACAUCCAGUACCAUCUUUUGUAACACCCUUCCUGUUGCAUCAAACUACAGCUAAGCCACUGUACUCAUGAAUGACUCAGAUAACUUGUUAAAAGAAGCCACUUAAAUCAGAGGGGUCUCUCUCACACUCCACAACAUCAGGACCAAGAAGCAGGAACCUUGGGAGCAGGAAGAACAUCCUCAACUCCAGUUCAACCAGCUCUAAUCGGGGAGUGAAUUGAAUUGCCUGAAGACCGGCAUCUGUGAUUUUUGGGAAAACUUGGAGGAGGCUGAGAUGGAUUAUCUACUUGACACUUUUAUUUCUGGCUGAAGAUGGCUGUGAAUGUUUCAAAAUUGUACUCUGAUUUGUUGGACUCUUCCAUGAAGGACGAUGGGGAUAUUCGUGGAGCUUCCUCUUCCAAAGUCAAUAAAAACCGCAUCCAGAUCAGAUAGUCGCUCCAUUUGUCACAAGCUAUUUAUCACAGGAGUUUGAACAUGGAAGGAAAACACACUGUUCUCUCUGGGGAGACCGUCUACACAUGUUCUGUGUCUAGAAGAGUCUUUGAAUAUUCAUCUCAAAUGUCCAAACACCAGCACAGUCACACUGGGGAGAGACUGUGUAAAUGUGGGGAUUGUGAGAAGGGAUUUUGUUACCCAUACCAGCUGGAAACUCACCUAUGCAGUCACAUUGGGAGAGACCAUUCAUUUGCACUGUGUGUGGGAAAAGAUUCACUGAGUCAUCCCACCUGCUGGUACACCAGUGAGCUCUCACUGAGGACAGACCUUUCAUACACCCUUGAGGGAAUGGAUUCACUUGGUUGUCCAACCUGCUCAAACACCAGUGAGUCCACAAUGGAGUGAGAUUGUUCACCUGCUGUCUGUUUGGGACGGGAUUCACUGAGUCACCCAACUUACUAACACGCCAGUGAGUUCACACAGAGAAGAAACCUCCCACCUGCUCUGAGUGUGGGAAGUUCACUUAGUCAAUGCACCUGCUGGAACACUAGUGAAUUCACAUUGGAGAGAAGCCGUUCACUUGCUGUAUGUAUAGGAAGGGAUUCACUCUGUCAUCCAGCCUGCUGAGACACUAGCAAAUUCACACUGCGGAGAGUAACCAUUCACUUGCUCCAUGUGUGGAAAAGUAGUUACUCUGUCAUCCAUCCUGCCAACACACCAGUGAAUUCAUAGACAACCACAGUUAAAGGAAUGAUGUCAAGCUCAUUGGCUUUUUUUUGAUAAUAUUAAACACUGCUGUGUUAAAUGCACAGAUUUUAGAACUGAAAUGUUAAUACAAUUGUGUGGCUAAAAGAUUGGGUUUUGGAAGUUAUUGUGCAUGCACACAUUCACACUGUGUUUGAAUUCCAUCAGUUGAAACAUUAUUUUGUGGUGUGUUUGAUGUUGCAGUGUGACAGGCAGCCUAAAGUACUGGAUUUAUGUGCCAGUCACUAUUUAGUAGUGAGUUCCACUGCAAUACGUCAUCUGAACGAGACUUGUUUCUUUGUGAAAAUAUCCGGAAAAGGAAGAUCAAAUGGUGAAAGCAGCAACAAUAUAACAAGCUCUGAAAGCUUGAAACAGUUUUCUUGAUGCUUGUGUUUCAGAUUUCCUGAGCCCUUCCCAUUUAGAAAAUAGUCAACACCUCUAUUCUCCUCACUAAAUUGCAUAACCCCACAGUUUCCCAUAUUGUAUUCCAUCUGCCACUUCUUUGCCCAUUCUCCUAGCCUAUCCAAACCCUUUUGCAGCUCUUUGCUUCUUCAACACUGACUAUCUCUCCAUGUAUCUUUAUCUCAACUGAAAACCUAGCUGCAGUACCAUCAGUUCCUUUGUCACGAUCGAAAAUGUAUAUUGUGAAUAGUUGUGAGCCCAAUAUUGUUCCUUAUAGAACUCCACUGGUCAGUGUUUGCCAUCCUCAAUAAGACUCCUUUAUGCCCACUCUUUGCUUUUGCCAAUCAUGCAAUCCUUUAUCCAUGCCAGAACCAGUCCCCUUACAUCAUGGGCUUUUAUGUUCUUCAGCAGUCUGAACUGCUUAGACUCCUCUCCUGCUUUGUGUUUUGGUAAAAUUCAGCCGUUCAUAUUCUUGGAUUGUUUUUCUAAACAUGAGGAGAACAAAUUCACAUGAUCAAAAUGAAUGUGUUGACCUAAUAUUGAAGAACAAGUUCUCAAACUGAGAUUAACAAGUUUGGUUACUUCCAGCUUUUAAAUAGGAUCACUUGUGUCAUCGAGUCAAACAGCACAGCAAUAGACCCUUCAGUCCAACGUGUCCAUGCCAACCAAGUUUUCCCAAAUAUACUAGCUUUGCUUGCCUGCAUUUGGCCAAUAUCACAGACUAAAAUCAGGAAAGAUGAGUAAUUAGGAGGGCUCACAUCUGUGAGAAACAGCCAAUAGAUUUGAAAUCUACCACCUUCACUGUUUGGCCAUGACUACAGGACAUAUAGCAUUGUUAAUAUAGCAGCUCUGCACCCUCUCAGGGACCCUCCCAUCCUUUUCAAUGUGUGGGUGAUCUCUAGAUUUCACACACUCUGAAGUACUGUGUUCCUGUGUGUAAUGUUAUCAUGAUAUUUGUACUGAACCUCACUGUCUGUAAGUGUGGUAGAUGCAGAAGUCCUGUGAACAUUUAAGAUGUGUUUAGAUGCAGACUUGUGAAAGCUCACAAGGCCAUGGGCCAAGUCCUGGAAAAUGGGAUUGGAAUAGUUAGGUGGUUACUUUUAACUGGCACAGACUCAAUGGCUGCAGAGCCUUUUUUUUUACUGUACCAUAUACCUCUGAGAUACAAUAGAGGAAUACAAUAAGCAACGUUUGAAACCAGAUCAGAGAAUGAGAUAUUAGACGAGAUGACUCAUCAAUGGUCAAAUCUUUCAGUUGGAAAGUGGAGUAAAGAGGCAGGGUGAUUUAUAAAAAGUUCUGGAGCUUGGGCCCUAAGUAUCUGAAAUUGCCACGCCAAGUGAAGAAUUCAAAAUGGAGUAUUCACACAAAGCUAUUAUUAGAGGAAAGUGCAUAUCUCAGAGAUUUAUGAGGUUGGAGGAGAUUACAGAUAGGGAGGGUUUUGAGGCUGGAGGAUAUUACACAGAUAGAUAGGAUUGUGAGGCUGGAGGAGAUUAUGGAGAUAGUGAGGGUUAUGAGGAUACAGGAGAUGACAGAACUAAGAAUGAAUGUGUAAGGGCUAGAGAAAUUGGUUCAAACAGGAAAUCCUCGCUGACAGAUAUGUCAGGGGUUCUGGUCAUUCCCGAAUCCAUGCCUGAGCUAGUUGCAUCACUAUUGUGAGCGACAUACAUGUCAGUAAAGGAUGACUGCUCUUUAUGGAGCUAUUUCAAGGGAGAAUUACGGAGAUAGGGAAGAUUGUGAGGCUGGAGGGGUUUACAGAGAUGGGGAGAGUUGGAGAGGCUGGGUGAGGUUACGGAGAUAGGGAGGUUUGUGAAGUCCGAGGAGGUUACACUGGUAGGGAGGACUGUGAGGCUGAAGGAGAUUGCAGAGAUAGAGUUUUGUCAGAUAUGGAUGGGGUUACAAAGAUAGGGAGGAUUGUGAGGCUGUUGGAGAAUGUGACCCAAACAACACUGUGGUGUACUUAAAGCACAUGCACUGCAUAGGUUCAAGAAGACAGUUAACGGCCACAUUCUCCAACUCAAAUUAAAGAUGGCCAGUAAAUACUGGCCUGGAAACCAUAGACCACGCUCCAUGAAUAAAUUAGCAUUUAUUUGGAUUUCUGUUUUGUAGAGACGUAUUAGUCAUCACAAUUUUGGACCACAGAAUCCAACUUUUAGAUAAUUGCCAAAUAGUGCAGGGUGAACAGGCAAAAUUUAUUUUACUCGGCAUUUGGAACAGUUAUUUCCAAAAGAGAUUUAGAACGUAGAAUUAGAAUUAGAUUUUAUUGUCACAUUUACUCAAGUAAUACAAAUAUAUGAGUGCAGCAAAAGGGGAACAAUGCUGCCAUUCUCCAGCUCUUAGACAACAAGGUGUCGAGCUGGAUGAACACAGCAAGCCA